rnacentral:rRNA from 1 species
AUUGAACGCUGGCGGCAUGCCUUACACAUGCAAGUCGAACGGCAGCACGGGAGCAAUCCUGGUGGCGAGUGGCGAACGGGUGAGUAAUAUAUCGGAACGUGCCCGGUCGUGGGGAUAACGUAGCGAAAGCUACGCUAAUACCGCAUACGAUCUACGGAUGAAAGCGGGGGAUCGCAAGACCUCGCACGAUUGGAGCGGCCGAUAUCAGAUUAGGUAGUUGGUGAGGUAAAGGCUCACCAAGCCGACGAUCUGUAGCUGGUCUGAGAGGACGACCCAGCCACACUGGGACUGAGACACGGGCCCAGACUCCUACGGGAGCAGCAGUGGGAAUUUUGGACAAUGGGCGCAAGCCUGAUCCAGCAAUGCCGCGUGCAGGAU